AGAGUUUGAUCAUGGCUCAGGAUGAACGCUAGCGGCAGGCUUAACACAUGCAAGUCGAGGGGCAGCACAGGUAGCAAUACUGGGUGGCGACCGGCGCACGGGUGAGUAACGCGUAUGCAAUCUACCUUUAACAUUGGGAUAGCCCAGGGAAACUUGGAUUAAUACCGAAUAGUUCUAUAAUAUGGCAUCAUAUAUUAGAUAAAAUUUAGGUGGUUAAAGAUGAGCAUGCGUGCCAUUAGGUAGUUGGUAAGGUAACGGCUUACCAAGCCUACGAUGGCUACGGGGUCUUAAAGGAUGAUCCCGCACACUGGUACUGAGACACGGACCAGACUCCUACGGGAGGCAGCAGUGAGGAAUAUUGGUCAAUGGGCGCGAGCCUGAACCAGCCAUGCCGCGUGCAGGAUGACAGCCCUAGUGGUUGUAAACUGCUUUUAUAUGGGAAGAACAUUAGUUACGAGUAAUUAACUGCCGGUACCAUAUGAAUAAGCAUCGGCUAACUCCGUGCCAGCAGCCGCGGUAAUACGGAGGAUGCAAGCGUUAUCCGGAUUUAUUAGGUUUAAAGGGUGCGUAGGCGGGUCUUUAAGUCAGAGGUGAAAUCCUGCAGCUCAACUGUAGAACAGCCUUUGAUACUGGGGGUCUUGAAUUAAGUGGAGGUAUGCGGAAUGUGUAAUGUAGCGGUGAAAUGCUUAGAUAUUACCCAGAACACCAAUUGCGAAGGCAGCAUACUAUAUUUAUAUUGACGCUGACGCACGAAAGCGUGGGUAUCGAACAGGAUUAGAUACCCUGGUAGUCCACGCUGUAAACGAUGCUCACU
rnacentral:rRNA from 1 species